CCCCCCCCCCCCCCCCCCCCCCCCCCCCCCCCCCCCCCCCCCCCCCCCCCCCCCCCCCCCCCCCCCCCCGCGCUGAGUCACCGCCGCGGCCGCCCCGCCGCCUCCUUUGUUGUCAGGCGUGGAAAAAUCCGGGGUGGCGGGCACGGCUGGGGGAAAAUCCCGAGGGGAACGGGGAGAAGCUGGGCCUGCGUGGCGGGCUGGGCCGGGCUCCGGCGCUCAGCGCCUCCCUGCCCCGGCAGGGGUAACGCGAGUGGGCGGCCACGCGUGGUUCGCACACUGCCGCGGGGGCCGUGGGCUGAGCGGCCCCGCUCACCUGCCGGAGCCGCCUCUCCCUCCGUGGAAAAGAAUUCCCAAGCUAUGCCUGCUUGUAACUUACCCGAGGGGUUCCUUCCCGCAUCCCGGAGCCCUGUCCCUCUGGAUGGUCUCACCGUUCAUUCUGUAGGAACUAAGGUCUCCGUCCAAGUUAGAGGCCGAGAGCUCAGGGCCAGCAGCCAACACGUGUUCAGAGUACCCAAAAUCUGUCUCCGAAUGACUUGAGUCACAGCACAGCGACUGAGGUCAUCUCAGGGAUGGAAAGCUUCAGCCUGAUGAAGGAGCUCAGUAAUUUGAAGACCUAAACAUUCAGCAUCCCUUGGGCUGUGGAGACAGACCCUUCCCCUGCAAAACCCCCGGCUAGAGGUCCCAGCAGGAAGAGUGUUGGGUGCUCAGUAGAUGGUGCUAUUUCCACCGAAUUUAUCCUAAAUAACCUCUGCUCCAGGAUAGGAAGGGCAGCGAGUGACUUGGAGAAACACCUUUACUGUGGGGCAGGGCUGAAAUCCUGAGUGAUGUACUGAAAAACUGUUCAGGUCUUUGUGUGCAGCUGGUCUUCCUCUAGGAAUAAACGGCAGCCGGGUUGAAACCUAGGAAAUAGAUGAAAUCCAGGGCACCAGUGGCCAUUGUCACAUUCUGGUUCAAUUCAAGCCCGCUGCCAAGCACCUGCAUGCACAAUCAGAGCUGUCCUGUGAACAAAUGAAAUGUUAAUAAAUACUAAAUACUCUUCCAAAAGUGCCUUGUGACAUGCCAGUCUGGACAACCAUUUGUGUUGUCCAUGUUCAGAGUGCCAGCCCUGCCAAUGGGCAGCCUCAUUCCCCACCACUUUCCUUUACAGGAAUGUUGCGAGAUGUAGUUUUUCUGCAUGUGGUGCUCAUGGACACUGUAUGGAGAAAACCUCAUAAAAAUUGAUUCUUUUAAAAUAAAUGUGGUAAAAUGAUGUGCCUGGAUGAAUGAGGCGGUAUAAAUAUUGAUUAGUUCCCUGGUCUGUGAGCAGCCCUCCAUCUGAAACGUGGCAGGGGGAAAUAGUUUAUGGCCAGAAAAUUGUGAACAGCAAUGAAAUAAAAUUAACUGCAAGGCCAGCAAAAUGCUGGAUUUCCCUGUCUUUAGCAUUCUUGACCUUACAGACCUCUCCAUAUAAUUUCUGUAUGCAAGCAUUAGCAGUUUGUAUUCCAAAGACACUUUGUAGUAGCCCUGAUCAAGUUUUUUAUCUCUGUUGCCUUAGACACUGCACAGGCAGUUGUCCCUGCUCUGAAAUCUGACACGUUACAUGAGUGUUUCCCAACACUUCCUCGGCUCAGACAGCUAUUUUGUUGUGAUAUGUAUGGUCUUCCCAGCAGAUCCUGCACAUCCACACCUUUAAAUGGAAUGCAACACUUUUCUCAAGCAAAAUUACAAAAAACUCUGGGUCUCUUGCCAUGGUUUGUCAAAGGAGCAGAGGCAUUUUUCAUGGUGUUUUGUUGCUGAGUUUCAUUCAGUUUAAGUGUGUGAUUAUGGAGCAUCGUUGGCAGGUGCAGAUUUAGCAAAGUCCACACACAUACAGAAUUAUCUUGUGCUUUGUGAAAUUACUGUAAUGCUGUGCAGCCCCUAAGCUGCCAUGGCAAUAUCCAGACCUGAAAAGUUUUGCUGAACAGAAGCAAGAGAGGGAAAGAUUUGUGAGGGGCAGAAAGGUGAAAGGACUCACCAAGGACACACCUGAAGACAACAAUGGCUGAGAUCAACCUGUUAUCCUGUUGUCUUAAUUCCCCACUCAGUGCCUCAUAAAAAACAGUGGUCAAAUGAUAGCUCUGAGUCAAAUAUCUCACGAGCAGUUUAAGGGAUAACUUGAGUCAUCACAUUGCCUGAUUUUGGUGCAAGAGCUGCCUGGUACCUCAGACCCCUGGCAGGGGAAUGAGUCAGUCCAGCUCAGCUGCAGCCCCUAAGAGAGGAGCACAUCAGUGGUCGGCAUUGUCUCCCAUCUGUGACCCACUCAGAUUCCUGGAAUUCCUAUUCUUUCUUUAAGGCACAUCGUAUGUGCCUUUUGCCUCUUGGCCACAUGAAAAUUACAGUCCAUGGUUCACAUGAUGAAGAAAUUUGGCCACAAUUGCAUUUUACUCAUGACAAGCCUUCUCCCCCCAGCACUGUGGGUACUGAUACUCUAGAAAGCACUCAAAAAAGCCUCAGGGAUCUUUCUAGAUGAAAAGCAAUAUAUAAAUGUGAAACAUUACCAUUUUAUUUCAAAUGAAAAGCAGUGUAUUGGAAUAAAAAAAAUUAAUAAACUGGCUGGACUUUAGACAGAAUGAUUCACUGGAAAUACUUGUAUGAAAAAAUUCCAUUCUUGUUAAUAUUAUAGCCAAAAGUGCAUAGACAUUCUAUCAUAUGAUC
rnacentral:lncRNA from 1 species